rnacentral:rRNA from 1 species
AAGGAAUAUUGGACAAUGGAGGCAACUCUGAUCCAGCCAUGCCGCGUGAAGGAAUAAGGCCCUAUGGGUUGUAAACUUCUUUUAGACGGGACAAAACCCCUUUACGUGUAAAGGGUUGAUGGUACUGUCAGAAUAAGCAUCGGCUAACCUCGUGCCAGCAGCCGCGGUAAUACGAAGGAUGCAAGCGUUAUCCGGAAUUAUUGGGUUUAAAGGGCGCGUAGGCGGACUAAUAAGUCAGUGGUGAAAGCCUGCAGCUUAACUGCAGAAUUGCCAUUGAUACUGUUAGUAUUGAGUACAGUUGAGGUAGGCGGAAUGUGUCAUGUAGCGGUGAAAUGCUUAGAUAUGACACAGAACACCGAUUGCGAAGGCAGCUUGCUAAGCUGUAACUGACGCUGUGGCACGAAAGCGUGGGGAGCAAACA